AGUUUGCCGGCAGCUUGGCUUCCUCAGAGGAGAGCCCUUCGGCCAGGCCUUUUUUGGACAGGGCACGGGUCCUAUCCUUCUCGAUGGCUUUAAUUGCACCUCGUCAGUCAGCCGUCUGGACCAGUGCACCAUUCCUGCUAUGGCUUCUCACGACUGCAGCCAUGUAGAGGAUGCUGGCGUCCGCUGCACAAGUAAGUAGUAGUGUUGCUAGAGCAUGCUUACUGUAGUAGCUGGCCGCUGAAAAGGCCUCCCGAGAUGCUGGUGGUCGCGCUUAGCACGUAUUUGUAGUUGUUAUGUGUGCUGUUCUGUGUACCGUCUACUACGUCCCCCCCCUUUGAAGGGAUCCGUCUCGGGCCCUUACAGCCACGUAUACCACCAGCCUGUGCUACCUUCGCCUAUCCUCGGGCAGUGGGUGCCCAGUCCACGUCAUGUCCUGUGUCGCUUUCACAUGCGCCUAGUGGUCUUAAGGGUUUUCAGGCACAGAGACACUCCAGUCGGUUCAGCUAUAUUUGUCGCGAUAAUCGCUCACUAAGUCACCAAACCCGAUACUCCUCCUUCAAGCGAGAAUGGUGAAGGUUGAACCGACGACUUUAGAAUCGUGAAAUUUCACGAGGUCUCCAUACCAAAUAGCUGGCCGCUGAAAAGGCCUCUCGAGAUGCCAGUGGUCGUGCUUAGCACGUAUAUGUAGUUGUUAUGUGUGCCGUACUGUGUACCGGCUACUACACUCACUCACCAAUUGAUCAUAUAUGCUGUAUAGAUGGGCCUUGAUGAAUAAUAUGUGCAUACUUACAACCGGAAUGCACACAACCUAGGCUUCUUAAGCGCUUUGUAGUAGCAGGCUGAUUUAUCGUCGAAGAACAAGGCCCUGGGUGGAUCUGUUCCACAGGACAGGAAGGAACUCAAGAUGAGAUCACAGUUGGGGCAAGCCAAGGGAGCUGAGUCCUCCUUACAACAGUUUAGAGGUGUUUAGCCGAAAGAUGAUGAAUCCCUCACCAACAGAACCAGGCAGCAUGGAGUUGGUUAUCGUUUAAGCGGGACCUUACACUUAUGGGACUGUGGCAGCUGUAGAUAGUACGACACACACAUCGUCUGUGAAUUUAUGGAGAGCUUCUAAGGCACUCCACCAGUACCUUAAGAGGCCAUUUCAGCGGUCAGCAGGAUCCUGGCACAUAUGCGGAAGUGUCAGCAAGCAUGUUGUAAACGGCGCGAUCUGACAGCUUCAAAGAUUGAGAUCCAGCUCCGCAGUUAUUUAAUUUUGGAGGUGUCUGGGCCCCCACUCUAGAGGCCACUUUUGUGUGUUAGGAGUGAUUUGUUAGCAGCAGCAGCCUGAGCUCGAAAAUCGUUCCGCAGCCUUGAGCAGAGUUGAAACCCCUCUAAGUAUUAUUAUGAGCUGCAUUAAUCCAGUACAUGGUGCGAUGCAGCAAAAGCUGGUAUUUCAUUGUUUCUCCGUACCCCCAAAAGCUGCCAUCUUGUACUGAUAUGCUUGUAUGAUGCCUGGCCGAUUUUCUUUCAUUUCUAAUCACCACCAGCUGACAUCCGCCUGGUCAACGGCAGUCGUGCUGGAGAAGGGCGAGUAGAAGUCUUUUUCAACGGAGCCUGGGGAACUGUGUGGUGAGUACGUACCGUAUGUCUAUGAUUUUAUUCAUAACUGCCUAAUAAUGUGCCUAGGCUUAGGGUUUUGGUUACAAGAUACAUUAUUUUUAACUAAGAAAAUUAUUUGUGAUUUUUACUGUGCUUUACUAAAGGUGUUUUUGCCUUCACUGCCGGCGUAUCUUUUCAUAAUGAUUAUGGUAAUCCUAGAUAUCUAGACAUCUGGACAAACUGAAUGACUGAAUGCAUUGCCUUAACCACCAUCACUUGCCAGGGGAGCUGAUCCCUUCUCACAUAACUGACCCUGCUGAUAUAUGCGUACCUAUGCAUGCAGUGACGACAACUUUGACGCAAACGCUGCAAACGCAGUAUGUCGCCAGCUUGGAUUCCCACCUGGCAUACCUUUCGGCAAUGCAGCUUUUGGGCAGGGCACAGGUCCCAUCCAACUUGACGGCUUCAUUUGCUCCUCUACAGCCAGCCGCCUGGACUCAUGCACAAUUCCUGCCUGGGCCACUCACGACUGCAGCCAUUCUGAGGAUGCAGGAGUACGUUGUGGAGGUAAGGUGGUGUUGCAUGCAAAUCUAGUAAUUUGCGUUGAUCGGGUUCUCAGACAAUUCGUAGAAAAUGCAUGUUUCAACACGCAGAUGAAUACAGCAUGAGUCACGCUGCAUGGGUGGUAUGGCAAUUUGCCAUGCCAAACAUUAAAUAUUUGCUACAUUUUCAGGUAGUCAAUCGUUCGAUGUUCGCCUGGUUAGCGGCAGCCGUGCUGGAGAAGGGCGAGUGGAGAUUUUGUACGGUGGAGCUUGGGGAACUGUGUGGUGAGUUGGCAACAUGCAUACAGCAGGACAGGCUGUACAUGCACAUUUGUAACGCCUACAAAUGUAGUUCCUAUUCGUGCAAAUUGCACCGAUGUCGGUUGUUUUGAGUGGCCGUGUGUAAGGUAUUUUAUAUAAAAUAUUUUAUAUAUACACGUACACAACAAAUGAAAUGCGUAUGCUACACCUUGAGUUGACGUCAGCAAAAUUGUGGUUUAUAGAUAGGAACAUGGUAUAAGAGGUACUGUAUAGUAGGACUGAGAAAUUGAUGGUUUAUAUAUAAACCAUGAAUCUAACUAUAUAGAUGUUAUGUCCUAGUGUCUAGUACUAGAACAGGCCUGAGGAUGGACGGUCUAUGGACACUCCUCAAUUUUACAGGCGUAAUUGAAUUUAUUUUGCUUGCAGUGAUGACAACUUCGACGGCAAUGCAGCAACUGCAGUUUGCCGGCAGCUUGGCUUCCUCAGAGGAGAGCCCUUCGGCCAGGCCUUUUUUGGACAGGGCACGGGUCCUAUCCUUCUCGAUGGCUUUAAUUGCACCUCGUCAGUCAGCCGUCUGGACCAGUGCACCAUUCCUGCUAUGGCUUCUCACGACUGCAGCCAUGUAGAGGAUGCUGGAGUCCGCUGCACAAGUACGUAGUUAGCAUUGUUAGUUGCAAGUGAGCAUGCCCAACAAUUGAGCUAGAGUUCGUUCAUGAAGGCCUGGGUGCAUGGAUGUGUGGAAAACGCUAGCAGGUUGCAUAGACAUCCAAUCAUUGUUUCCUGUGCACAGAAAGGUCAUACCAUGAAUACUAUAGUAGAGUAUAGGAAGCUACGUAGCUACCUGCCAGCAGCAUGUCAUGAAGACAAAUACAUUGAAAUGCACUUUCACUUUUCAUCCCAGCCAUCUGCUAGUACACCUACAAAUCACUGUAGACAUGCACAUG
rnacentral:lncRNA from 1 species